GACGAACGCUGGCGGCGUGCUUAACACAUGCAAGUCGAACGGAAAGGCCCUGCUUGCAGGGUACUCGAGUGGCGAACGGGUGAGUAACACGUGGGUGAUCUGCCCUGCACUUCGGGAUAAGCCUGGGAAACUGGGUCUAAUACCGGAUAGGAGCCAUUUUUAGUGUGAUGGUUGGAAAGUUUUUUCGGUGUAGGAUGAGCUCGCGGCCUAUCAGCUUGUUGGUGGGGUAAUGGCCUACCAAGGCGGCGACGGGUAGCCGGCCUGAGAGGGUGGACGGCCACAUUGGGACUGAGAUACGGCCCAGACUCCUACGGGAGGCAGCGGUGGGGAAUAUUGCACAAUGGGCGCAAGCCUGAUGCAGCGACGCCGCGUGGGGGAUGACGGCCUUCGGGUUGUAAACUCCUUUCGCUAGGGACGAAGCUUUUUGUGACGGCACCUAGAUAAGAAGCACCGGCUAACUACGUG
rnacentral:rRNA from 1 species